GACGAACGCUGGCGGCGUGCCUAAUACAUGCAAGUCGAACGCAGUGGGGACGGGUGAGUAACACGUGGGUAACCUCCCAUCAGAGGGGAUAACACUUGGAAACAGGUGCUAAACCGAUACUGAUGGAUGGACCCGCGGGGCAUUAGGGAGUUGGUGCGGUAACUGCUCAACAAGGCCACGAUGCAUAGCCGACCUGAGAGGGUGAUCGGCCACACUGGCACCGAAACAGGGCCCAGACUCCUACGGGAGGCAGCAGGAGGGAAUCUUCGGCAAUGGAGGAAAGUCUGACCGAGCAACGCCGCGUGAGUGAAGAAGGUUUUCGUAUCGUAAAACUCUGUUGUUAGAGAAGCGGUAUCUAACCAGAAAGCCACGGCUAACUACGUGUCAGCAGCCGCGUUAAUAC
rnacentral:rRNA from 1 species